ACUCCUACGGAGGCAGGCAGCAGUAGGGAAUCUUCCGCAAUGGGCGAAAGCCUGACGGAGCAACGCCGCGUGAGUGAUGAAGGUCUUCGGAUCGUAAAACUCUGUUAUUAGGGAAGAACAAAUGUGUAAGUAACUAUGCACGUCUUGACGGUACCUAAUCAGAAAGCCACGGCUAACUACGUGCCAGCAGCCGCGGUAAU
rnacentral:rRNA from 2 species